AGAACAUGACGCCUGCAGCUGCCAUGAAAAGGGUGGGCAAUAGCCCUAGUAGCCCUUUCUAGUAAGUGCGUGCCUGCUAAUUUAUGUAAUCAUAACAUAAGCCCUAAUAUGUCAUCUUUCCUAUCUAGGCCAUGAAGUGGCUCAUCUUGUGAACCAGGGAAGAUGAGUUUUAAAACCAAGAUAAUCUUGUCUAGAAUUUAUGGCUUUUGGAAGUGGAACAUCUCAGGGCUACAUAAUUACAGGCAUCCUGCCCCACAGCCAUGUAAAUUUUCCUACAUAUAAAUGUUCGUUGCUGUCUUUUACAUUCCUCUGCUGACAGUGAAGAGGUCAUGCUAAAUCAAAUUGAUGCAGAAACUGGACAGUAUCUUUACCCAGGAUGUCCAAAUUAAUUCUACCAAAACAAGAGUGUCUUGGAUGCCACAUGCAAUGCGCUGCAAUGAGAAGAGGAGCCAAGCAACAGGAUUUAUGAUGUUGUUUAUCUGUUGGUGAUGUUUCGUCAGUUCUGAUUUAUGGCAGAACUGCGCCUGGGCCCAGUGAGGUAUGGUUUCCAGUCCCACAGCUUGCCAGAAUUCAUGAGGGCUUACCCG
rnacentral:lncRNA from 1 species